CCCAGACUCCUACGGGAGGCAGCAGUGGGGAAUAUUGCACAAUGGGGGAAACCCUGAUGCAGCGACGCCGCGUGAGUGAAGAAGUAUUUCGGUAUGUAAAGCUCUAUCAGCAGGGAAGAAAAAAGACGGUACCUGACUAAGAAGCCCCGGCUAACUACGUGCCAGCAGCCGCGGUAAUACGUAGGGGGCAAGCGUUAUCCGGAAUUACUGGGUGUAAAGGGUGCGUAGGUGGCAUGGUAAGUCAGAAGUGAAAGCCCGGGGCUUAACCCCGGGACUGCUUUUGAAACUGUCAUGCUGGAGUGCAGGAGAGGUAAGCGGAAUUCCUAGUGUAGCGGUGAAAUGCGUAGAUAUUAGGAGGAACACCAGUGGCGAAGGCGGCUUACUGGACUGUCACUGACACUGAUGCACGAAAGCGUGGGGAGCAAACAGGAUUAGAUACCCUCGUAU
rnacentral:rRNA from 1 species